GACGAUCCGUGCGAACGUUGUUCGGAAUCACUGGGCUUAAAGGGCGCGUAGGCGGGCUGCCAAGUCUGGGGUGAAAUCCCACGGCUCAACCGUGGAACUGCCUCGGAUACUGGCGGCCUCGAGGGAGGUAGGGGCGUGCGGAACUGUGGGUGGAGCGGUGAAAUGCGUUGAUAUCCACAGGAACUCCGGUGGCGAAGGCGGCACGCUGGACCUUUUCUGACGCUGAGGCGCGAAAGCCAGGGGAGCAAACGGG
rnacentral:rRNA from 1 species